ACCCCUACGGGGGGCAGCAGUGGGGAAUAUUGCACAAUGGGCGUAAGCCUGAUGCAGCCAUGCCGCGUGUAUGAAGAAGGCCUUCGGGUUGUAAAGUACUUUCAGCAGUGAGGAAGGGGUGUAUGUUAAUAGCGUGCAUCUUUGACGUUAGCUGCAGAAGAAGCGCCGGCUAACUACGUGCCAGCAGCCGCGGUAA
rnacentral:rRNA from 1 species